UACGUAGGAUGCAAGCGUUAUCCGGAAUUAUUGGGCGUAAAGCGUGUGUAGGCUUCUGCGUAAGUUUCUCGUUAAAGCCCGGGGCUCAACUCCGGAAUCGUGAGAAAGACUGCGCGGAUGGAGGUACGGAGAGGCAGAUGGAAUUCCUAGUGUAGCAGUGAAAUGCGCAGAUAUCAGGAAGAACACCCGUGGCGAAGGCGGCUCUCUGGGACGGUACUGACGCUGAGACGCGAAAGCGUGGGGAGCGAACAGG
rnacentral:rRNA from 1 species